rnacentral:lncRNA from 1 species
UGGAAAUCAUUCCAUAUCAGCACAUAGCCCUCCUCCUGAUUAUGUUUCACAGCAGCAUAGUACUCCAUUGUGUGUAUGUACCAUUAUUUAUUCAAUCAAUCUCUUAUGCUUAACAAUGACAAGUAAUUACCUGUAAAUAACUUUGGGCAUCCAUGUUUUCAUAUUGUUGGAGAUAGAUGGUCAGGAGACAUUCAUAGAGGGAAUUGCAUGUUGUGGUUUGGUUCGGUUACAUAUAGUUGGUUAAACAUUUUCAAAUUCCCCUUCUUAAGAGUCACACUAUUUUUCAUAUUGAUCAGCAAUAUACAGUAGUGCCCACUUUUCCACCACCUCAUCAACAGAGUAUGUUGUUAAGAUUUUGAAUUUUGUCAUUUUAACUGGUAAAAAUAGGUUUCCACAGGAUUUUUUCCACAAUUCAAAACAAUUCUUAAUCAAUUGGGGAUUUAAUCCUUUAUCUGUGACAUGCUGUGAAUAUUUUUUCUGUUUGUCAGAUGUCUUUGUUAAUGUUUUGGCAAGGCAAAACAUUUUAUUAGUAAAUAGUCAAAUUUACUAACCUUUUCUUUCAUUGUAUCUGGGACUUUAGAUCAUAGCUAGAAAGCCUCUCCUUAUACACAGAGUUUAGAAGAAUUCACUUAUGUUUUCUUCUGGUACUUAUGUAGUUUUACUUUUUUAUAUUUAGAUCUCUAAUCUAUUUGAAGUUUAUCCUUAGGUAUAAUGAAAAGAAUAGAUCUGCUUUUACCAAGUGGCUAUCCAGUCAUCCCUAUGCUGUAUGUUGAACAGAGCAUCUUUGCCUCAGUGAUUCGAGACCUCUUUUAUCAUAAGCUAGAUUUGUAUACGUAGUUGGAUCUAUUUCUGGAGGUUUCACUCUAUUCUAUUGGUCUGACAGCUGCUUCUUGUGUCAACAUCAUACUUUUUAAUGAAUGUAGCACAUUUUUAUAGCUGGUAGCAGUUGUUUCUUGUCCCCCAAUCCCCACUGCCACCCACCACCCUAUGGAUCUUCAUAAUCAGUAAUUUUCUAGCUAACCUUGUGUUUUUUAUUUUUAAUUUUUAGUUUUUAAUAAAACUAAAAUUUUGAUCAACACAAAGGUUGCUUUCACUGUAUCAUUAUUAAUAAAUAAUACUCAACCUGAAUUAUGGGAACUGCUUUUGUAAACAGAGAAUGAUAGCCAUUUUAUUCCUGACUGUGAAAAAUACUUAUUUAAUCUCUUUACAAGUUGAGAAUAGAAGAAAAUUAUUUCUGUUCAAUACAGCCUUGAAAAAAUUUAUGUUAUUGCCUUAUUCCUAAUAUAUUUUUGUUCUUACUUUUCAUAUCUCACCAAUAACCCAGCCCACCAUGGGCAAAAGAAAACCAUGCCGUUACCAUUUUCUGGUAGCUCCUUCUUUUGGAAGUUACAGUUGAAAACAAUCUUUUAUCUCACCAUUCUUUGAGUUAAUAGAACCCUUCCUUGUAUGUAUCUAUGUUCCUAAAACUAAUUCAAGAUGAUUGUAGUACACUGCUUCUGCCUUGGGAUUGUGUCUAUACUGAUGUGCCCCUACAGGAGCCAGAGAAGAUCAAACCAGUUCUGAUUCCGUAAUGGUAAGCAUGCUAGUUUAAAUUAGAGUAAGCAAACCCACAGUUGAUUUCACCUGCUUUGAAUCUUUUUUUUUUCUUAGAUUUUAUUUAUUUAUUCUUCAUGGAGACACACACACACACACACACACACACACAGAGGCAGAGACACAGGCAGAGGGAGAAGCAGGCUCCAUGCAGAGAGCCUGACGUGGGACUCGAUCCAGGGUCUCCAGGAUCACGCCCUGGGCUGCAGGCGGCGCUAAACCACUGCGCGACCCGGGCUGCCCACCUGCUUCAAAUCUUAAUUCAAGAAAUCAUAUCUGCUAACACCAGUGGUCCAAAAAGAUCUAUUAUGUCUUGAAAAUUGGAUUCUAUGUAACUUAUAUUUAUCAUCAUAGUACAUUUUCUUUUGCUUGUGGCAUAGAUUAGUAUUUAAAAAGCUAUAUUCCCCAUCGAGUUUCACAAAAACAGAGCCACUUUCUCCAUUAGUUUUGGAAAAAAAUUUGUAAUCUCAAGUUCAAACCACAUAUUAUAGUUGGUCAAUAAAAUUUUAUACUCCAUUGAGACAGUCCAAAGUUUUUUUUAAAAACGCAGCUCAAAAGAAAAAGAAAAGAAAAGAAAAAGCUGCUCAAAAGAUAUGUCAUACCAACUUAGGUACUCAAUUUUUUGUGCCAAUGAUAAGCCAAUGGACCAUUUCAUGAAGGCUUAACUUUUCAAUCAGAAGAGAUUACCCUCAAUGUUAGAGAACUUUCAUUUUAGAAAACUUUCUGAUUAUUCUUGCUAUUGGAACUUUUAAGCAUUUUUAUCAGUUAGCUUAAUGUCUUUUGUGAAUUAUCACUUGGUGUAUUUUCCUGUUUUUUUCUAUUAAAGUCUCUGUCUUAAUUAUUUAAGAGUCUCUCACAUAUUAUGUCUAUUAAUCCUCUCACUGUCAUAAGUUUUGCAGAUAUUUCCCCCAAAUAAUUAUUUGUUUUCAUAUUUGGUUUGGCAUAUUUUGAUACAUAAGGUUUUAAUUAUCUUUAUUUAUAUUGGUCCUUUGUAUUGUGGAGUUUUGAAAAAUCCUGUAAUGCUUGGAAAUUUUUCUUCCAUCUUCUGAUUAUAUAAAUAUCCACCUAUUUGACUUUUAAAAAAUAUUUAACUUUUUAAAAAAAAUUUAUUUAUAUGAGACACAGAGAGGUGGGAGGGUAUGGAGGGACAGAGGGAGAAAGAGAGUCUCAUGCAGACAGACUCCCCACUGAGUGUAGAGCCUGACACAGGGCUCCAUCUCUUGACCCCAAGAUCAUGACGUGAACUAAAAUCAAGAGCCAGACACUCAAUUGACUGAGCCACACAGGUGCCCCUAAAAAAUAUUCAACUUUUUAAUCCAGGUAUAAUUUAUUUUGCUAUAAGUAUGAGGUGAAGAUCUAACUCUUUUUCCUGAUAACCAAUUGUCCGGGUACUACUUAAAGAAUAAUUUAUUCUUUAUCUAUCUGUAUAUAAUGAUCUCUAUCUAUCAUAGACUUAAUUUUGUAUGCAGGCACUAUUUUCUUUUUCUUUUUUUUCAGGCUUUAUUUUCUGUUUCACUAAUGUAUUUGUCUAUUCCUGAGACAGUAUACUAUUCCAUUUUAAUUAUUGUAGCUUUGGAAAAAUUUCAAUAUCUGGACAAACUAAUUCUGAAUAUGCUCUUUCAAAAUUUUGACUAGUCCUACCUAUAUUUUAAAAAUAGAUGAACUUUCAUGUACUUUAAUAAUUCUUUUUUUGUCCUUAAUAUACCACAUUAUUCAUUUCAUGUUCACUGACAGACUUAGUUGUUUGCUUCAUUUCAAUCUGUGUAAGGUAUUGUAUGUUUUUAUAGGUGAGAUGUGGGUC